rnacentral:rRNA from 1 species
GACGAACGCUGGCGGCGUGCCUAAUACAUGCAAGUUGAGCGCUGAAGGUUGGUACUUGUACCAACUGGAUGAGCAGCGAACGGGUGAGUAACGCGUGGGGAAUCUGCCUUUGAGCGGGGGACAACAUUUGGAAACGAAUGCUAAUACCGCAUAAAAACUUUAAACACAAGUUUUAAGUUUGAAAGAUGCAAUUGCAUCACUCAAAGAUGAUCCCGCGUUGUAUUAGCUAGUUGGUGAGGUAAAGGCUCACCAAGGCGAUGAUACAUAGCCGACCUGAGAGGGUGAUCGGCCAAAUUGGGACUGAGACACGGCCCAAACUCCUACGGGAGGCAGCAGUAGGGAAUCUUCGGCAAUGGACGAAAGUCUGACCGAGCAACGCCGCGUGAGUGAAGAAGGGUGUCGGAUCGUAAAACUCUGUUGGUAGAGAAGAACGUUGGUGAGAGUGGAAAGCUCAUCAAGUGACGGUAACUACACAGAAAGGGACGGCUAACUACGUG